rnacentral:tRNA from 1 species
UAAAUGGAAGCCAAAUUAGAGGUGUCUAACUGUUAAUUAGAAGAUUGUAAAGUGAUUUACCCAUUUAG